GAACGUGACUGCUGGCUGCUGUGCGGUUGUGGUCGCGAAUUGCGACUAGGCUUUGUACAAGUGACCGCCAACACAGACUUGCAACUGCAUUCCGCACUCGUCUGUUUAUUGUGGCAGCAGCAUAUGGCGCAGAAGGUCGAGAUGGUACGCGAUUCGGAGACUUGCAGGCGCCGCCGCUUUGUCUGGGCGCGGAGGUGACGACGCGCUCAUGUCCUCCCCACGGCCCUCAUGUCUGGGUUGCCCUUGCGCGGAGCCAGCCUGCUGUACGAGCAACCACCUGGCGCCGGCACGAGCCAAAACCCUGUGCUUCAUCUGAGACUUGAUCGUGCUCAACGCCAAUUGAAAGGACUCGACGCCGACUCCUACGAGGGCCUCCUCAAGCGGCCAUCCGGCGACGCGAGGCCUUCCCUCGGCCGCCACAAGCUCGACCACGUCCCUCGGGCACUCUUGAAUUCAGCGCGGUUGCCAUGUUUUCUAAAAAUAAACACCUGGCGCGGAUGGUGCCUACCUGAGAGCCUUGGCGUCGAAGAUGAGGUGCGCCGUCAGCUCGAAUUUGGUCUCUUGAGUCGCCUGCGUCAGCCGUGUCGAGGCCGCGGCCGCCCUUGAGCCAGCCCUGCGCCAUCCGCAUCACGUAGCCGACCCUCGUUGGCCCCCAGCCUGCAUCACGACCCCCGCCGCCACUCUCCAGCCACUUGGAACGCGUCUGCUCGUCCAGUUCGGCUUUGGACUUGUUGCGAAACUGCAGCUGCGGUUCGGAAAGCAAAGACGAGCCUUUUGAAGCGUUUCAGGAAUAGACAAACGUGCAAUUGGACCAACUUCCAGCAGGGGGCCGCGACGGCAAGCCAAAGAACAAAAAGCCGCAGGACAACGACGAGUCGGACCAGUCGGGCGACGACGAGAAACGGCAAGCCCAAACAGCAGCUAGUCGACGACAAAACGUCCGGCCGGCCCUGGCGAGAAAUAGAACAAAGAAGGACUCGCUCCUCGCGGCGAGCCCUCCAGGCGCAGCCGCGGAGGGAUAUCUUAAAGAGUCGCAGCAUCAUGGCGGAGACUGUCGAGACGACGCGGACGAGCUGCACAAGGCCGAGCACCAGAUUCUGUGACUAGAAGGCGCCGCUGGGGGACUGGGCAUCAGCGGCGCCGAUGUGAUGACUGAGAAUCCUGCGUGGCAGCAAGCAGUUGCCAUGUUCUCAAAAACCCUGUAAUUUCGUUUCUUUGCUAAUAAAAUUCAUCAAAAGCUGACAUGAA